GACUCCCUCCUCUCUCUCUCUUUUCUGUUUCCUCCCUCGAGCCGCCGCCGCCAUCGCCACGUCGCCCAGCCCAGUGCGCCGCCUCCUCUCCCAGCGCCGCCGCCGCCGCCGCCCCUUCUCCCAGCCGCCGCCGCCCCAUGUCGCCCAGCCCAGCCCCUUCUCCUAGAUCCCAAGGGGUCGGGGUGAGCACCGACGACCCCAUCGCUGCUCCUCCGCCCCACGCACGCUCGUCCACCUGGCUUCCUCCUAUGUCGUCGGCGGCGCAGCAAAGGCGGUCGAGCCGUCGGGGGAAGACGAAUGAGCUGCAGCCUACCGCGGGGCCCAAGGCGAAGCCUGCGCCGGCGGCAGCGAUGAUGGAGGUGGAGGUGGAGGAGCUCCCCAAGGCCAUGGCCGGCAUAGGUCAAGGAGGAGGGCAGAGGUGUGGUGGACAAGGACGCCAUGGCCGCUUUCACCACAGCGCCUACAUCUUCAUCCACUGCCUCUCCACCAAGGAUACAUAGAGCUAGCCAGUGCAAGCUUCUGGUUUGGUUGCUGUAAACAUACUAAGGUCCCUACCAUAUGUGAAAAGAAGGAAAGAGGCCAGACGUGGGACUGGUGCUUGGUAGCACCAGCGAUUCCUACAGGCAUUUCGAUUCCAAUAACUAAAAGUUCUAGGGAAGAUGUAUGUUUCCUACAAAGGUUUUGAGUCUGAGAGGCACAGAAGAAGUUAGAGGUGUGCCAGCUUAUUUGGCUUUACAGUGGCAUGUAUUGACAAACGAUUGUAAUAUUCAGUAUGCUAGGGUGUGUCCUAUUUAUCAUGCAGAUUCUCUUUUAGGUGCUCGAUAAAGAUAACGAAAGCUAACAGAGAUCAUAAUAUAUUUUUACUUAUAUUUUUCUCUUCCUUUUAGUUCUGUGUAGUCUUUAUUUACCACGUGAUGAUUAGUUUGAAUGCUUAUAGUGGUGAUACUUUCCCUAUAAAUGUGUUGGGUAGAUUAUAAUUCUGUUACUUGAUUUAGGACAGUAUAUGGUUCUAUGAUACGGGAUUUAGAGGAACAUAUAUGGGAUUUAGUUCUUCAGGUCACACUUGUCCCAUAUUCUGUUACUUUGCCUAUUGAUUUUGGCUUGCAAUUGAGUAAGAUGCAGACUGGUAUUCUCCCUUGUGUGUCAGAAUCUGAAGUAUUUGACCAUUUGGGUUCACUUCUAUCAUGUGUUGUAUCCUUCCUCUGUUUUAAGAUUUACUAGGCACAUGCAGAUUAGUUGUUGUUUCAAACAUGUCAAUGAAAGGUAAUAAUGUUAAAAUUGCUUCCCCAAGGGCCAAGGUGGUGAUGAUCACUUUGUGCUUCUUUUCCUAUUCGUUCCAAUAAUGAUUCUUCUGGGUGAUGUUGAUUUAGGUUUUUGUGGUCAUGUCAUACACCAAUUACCGUUGAGAUAUGUAAUGGUAUGGGAGUGGGGCUGCAAGGAUGUGAAAAUGGCCUGGAAGACAGAGUUAGCAGCGACAUGUGCCCUCAAGUAAUUUCUUGCCAAAGGUAUGCUAUAGGUACAACCAGCUUCAGAGACAUGCCUAGGUAGCUCUCCUAUGCCCAGUUUUACUAUUCCUCUGUUUUUUUCUAGCUAAAGACAACAUAGUCAAAUUACUUUGUAAAUAGCACAUUCCAUGUAUGGUUUACUGUUGCACAUUGUUUAUAAAUUAUCCCUGGUUCUCUUGCCCCCCUUUAGUUUAGCUUUAUUGAUUGAUAAUGAAUUUACAACAAUAUGGCGUAGAAGCUAUUUAUUUUGUUUGAACUAAAUCAGUCUCAAGUUAAAAUACAAAAACCCUGAAUAUGUUCAUGCCAUCCCUGAAAAUACUGGGUUUGGAUUUUUAUUUAUGUGCAGUAUGUAUGUCCUAUAAAGAUCACAUCAUGAAGAGGUUUCUUCAAUGCAACAAAUUGUUUUCUUCCUGCUUUAGUGUCUUGUACAGCAUCCCUAUUUAGUAACAAUUUUAUAGGAGACCACAUUCAUACUUCUGUACUAAAUUCUUCAUAACAUUGCCAUGAUUGUUGGAGUAUAAUUCUCACGACGAGCCUAUGGAAUAUAUGUUAUUUACCCUGCUAUCUCCCACCAUUUUUCCUAUGCUUCACCCAACAAUUGCUUAAGAGGUUGCAAAAUUUGUUUAGCUCCAUCUAUUUGUGCAUAUAGAAAAUCCAUGUACCUCUGUUUGUCACACAUUGCUUACUAUUCUAUUGUCUCCUGCUUGCUACUACCUCUGCAAGUCCUCAACCUCAUGAUUUCUUGCUGUUCAAUGAAGGUCUCCUCUGAAAAUUUCAGCACAACAUGCAGACUGAAAACAUAAAGCUUGAUAUUGAUGUUGCUGCGCCUGGUACGCUUGAUGAAGGCGACGACAGUCAAAACAAUAUAAUGACAUUGUCCUAUGCUGGUAGAACUCGUUAUAUGACUCAAAGCUAUCAUGAUGGAAUGGCAGCUUCGCAUGUCAACGACUCACCUGAUAUAGUCACCACAUUCACAUGUAACCCAAAGUGGGCUCAGAUAACAAAGACGCUUAGGCCUGAGCAACAAGAAAUCAAUAAGGCAGCUGACCCUGUUCGUAUCUAUCGCAUGAAGCUACUUGAGUAUCUGCAGAAGAUCAAAGACGGGAAGAUAUUUGGGCCUAUGGUCACUGGUACUGUGCCCGGGAUGAGCCGGCUGUUACAAAGACUAACGCAUCAAAAACAUUUGAGUGCUAGCUGAACCAAAGCUUUGGAAUGAUAAUGCCUAAGUGGUAUAUGAGCUCAUAUUCUGUGCAAAUACAAAACACAACGACUGCUCGCCACCUAAGAGGGCAGGAUAACACCAAGGGAGUUAUGGAAGCAGCACUUGCAAGCAUUGAAAAACUGACGCAGAGACUACGCUACAUUGGUAUGAAGUCCGAGCAGCGCCUGGAGGCUACAAGAAAUAGUUUCUGGAGCUCUCCUCCACGCCCUCGUGGGGCGGCCAUGCUGCUCUGAUUCCGAGCUCCCCACAUCGUUGCAUGGCCUGUGCCAGGUCCAAGAUGGAGAAGGACGCCAGAGCCAGCCUCAUGCACCCCUGUGUCUGUGUGCGUACGUGAACUGUGGUGUUUGAGCGGCUUGCUUUCUGGGUGCUGCUCCUUGGUUGUUGUAUGCGGGGGCGUAUUGUUGUUGUAAUCUUUGUUUUUCUUCAUGGAUGCAGCUAACUAAUUAUAUUCAUUUUCAGGCACAAAGAUUGGUUGCAGGAGUACAAUGAGAAAUAUAAGGUCUUCCCUUGAAUGGCCAGAUAGAGAAAACAAUGUACUCUUAUUUCUUGUGAUGUUAUGUUUUCUGCUAUAACCGGCAUGGUUGGUAUACAUGUCUCAAUUCCUAAAGGUUCAGGAGGAUUUGAGUGCUGCUAAAGAGAGAGACAAGGAUCAGUGCUAUAAAAUUGUUGUUCAGAGACAUGUACCAUGAAUUGGGCACAAUAUGUUUCUACGUGCCUUCUCCUUAUUGACUAAAGCUAAGUACUCCCUCCGUCCGAAAAUACUUGUCAUCAAAAUGGAUAAAAAUAGAUGAAUCUAGAACUAAAAUACGUCUAGAUACAUCCCCUUUCAUCCAUUUUGAUGACAAGUAUUUCCGGACGGAGGGAGUAUAUGACUAUUUUCAGUUCUCUCAUGUAACCUGAACAGUUGUUAGUCACAUUUUAGCAUUCCUUGCAAUUCUUGGUUAGCAGCGCGCUGCGACACACAUGGCUCUGCCUCCAUGUCGUUCUACUUACUUUCGUGCUCUCUACUUUCAUUCCACAAACCAACAUUUUUUCCGUAUUAAUCAUGCCAUGCUGAAAGGUAAAUGUUAUUGCUCGGGCAGAAAGGAACAUUAUUGUCAUUCUUGCUGUUGUUUGGGCACUAUAGUUCAUGCUAUAUUCUGAACUCCUUUUUUGUUCUACUCAUCUUUUGUUUUCUGUUGUGUUGCCUCAUUUAUCUACAAUAUGAAUUCUUAGACUUUGCGUUUCUUAAACAUGGUCAGGACAAUCGAUAAAAUUUAGAUGCUAAGUUUCCUUUUUCUGCAGAUUUUCUCUACAAAGCCAGCAUUGGAUGCUGGCAAAAUUGAAGAAAAACUCUCCAGGAAAUUGAAUAAAUAGUUAUUGUUGAUUUUAGUUGCUACAAGGAAAAGACUGCUGCAAAUUUUAGAACCAGUUUAUCAAUUUUGGCAGCUGUACCAGGUAUUGCUUAUUUUUAAUUGUGUAGCAUUUAGUCAGAUUUGGCUUAUUUGAUAAUGAGCAAUGAAUGAUUGUUGUAAUCGAAUAUAGCAAAUAAAUUUGCGGCGUAGCUUCAAAACUGUUAAUGUGAAGUUGUCAGGGUCUGAUUUUUAUAAUUUUGAUUCUUUCCUUAAGUUGUCGAUGGAAAACAUUGAAGCAUGUAGUUAUACCUAUUUUGUAAAUCAAAAGCUGUUAGUAACAUUUAGUCUCAAGAUAUUAUAGUCAAAAAUGCUAACUACUUAUGCCUUCAUGGUUUUUUGAUAUUCCCUCUGAUCCAUAUUAGUUGUCGCCGAAAUGAAUGUUUGUAGACGUAUUUCUAGAUACAUAAGUUUGAAGCCUGUAGUUAUACCUAUUUUGAAAAUCAAAAGCGGUUAGUAACAUUUAGACUCAAGAUAUUACGGUAAAAAAUGCUAACUAAUGACCCUUCAUGGUUUUUUGAUAUUCCCUCUGAUCCAUAUUAGUUGUCGCUGGAAUGAAUGUGUAGACGUAUUUCUAGAUACAUAAGUUCGAGGGGCAACUAAUUUGGAUCAGAGGGGGUACUAAGAGUAACAGUGACUAGCUGUUCAGUUACUCUGCACUUUAUUGUGAGUUUUACCUGAUUUGGUUCGUUUAUCAAGGCGAAUUAAACUGGUAUUAGGAGGGUAGUGCUAUAAUUACCGCAGUAGUACCGGUGCAAAGAAAUGCUUUUCUGAAAUUUAAAACACAAUUGCUCUAAAAUUUAUGGCAUACUUUGUAUUUCUGCCUCAACCUUCUCUAUACGUACAUCAAAUAUAUCUUUGCAAUUAGAUUUUUUCCUUGCAAAUCUUAAUGUAAUUCAAAAAAGGAUUAUGAAGUAUGCCAUGAUUUCUUUAUAUAAUUUGUUUGAUUAUUUCUAAUUCUAUGGCUUCCGUAAGUACCAUUUGUGUUCAGGUUUGGUAUUAGGAGGGUAAUCUCCUCGUCAUGCAAUUUUUAUUUCUUGGAAUGCAUGAUAAAGGAGUUACUUUAUUCUGAGCGUUUGUUUCUAGAUAAUAGAUUGGCUAACCAGUUGCCUAACAUUGUUGUAAAUGCGGUAACAUCAUGUUUCUUUCAUAGUACUUCCUUUGAAAGCUUUAUUCCACAAAAUUGCUUAGCAUAUUUGUAUUUUCUGUUUGGUCCCUGCUAUAAGUCAUAUGCAUCUGCCAACGCGGUGAGCCAAUUGAUAUUUUCAUGAUGGGAUAAUGCAUAUGCACCAGAAGUUUGAUGCGGACACACGUCUGAUUGAGGGUCUGGUCCUUGACAAUGGUUAGCAGCACCCUGACAUUAAGCACAUGCAGAGAAAUGUAACAUCCUGAUAGCAAAUGUAUAAAGCGGGGCGAAAGCCUUUUUUUUGGUAAAUGUAACAUCCUGACAUGUAAUGUAUCACUGGUGUAUGAGAAAAGGUGUGUAGUUUUGCAUAAAUUACUUAUUCAACUUGCAAAUUCCCUUGAACUUCGAAGGAUUUGAUGUGGUGGCCAA